rnacentral:rRNA from 1 species
GGUAAAGGCCCUUCGGGGUACACGAGCGGCGAACGGGUGAGUAACACGUGAGCAACCUGCCCCCGACUCCGGGAUAAGCGGUGGAAACGCCGUCUAAUACCGGAUACGACCGGCCACCUCAUGGUAGCCGGUGGAAAGUUUUUCGGUUGGGGAUGGGCUCGCGGCCUAUCAGCUUGUUGGUGGGGUAAAGGCCUACCAAGGCGAUUACGGGUAGCCGGCCUGAGAGGGCGACCGGCCACACUGGGACUGAGACACGGCCCAGACUCCUGCGGGAGGCAGCAGUGGGGAAUAUUGCGCAAUGGGCGAAAGCCUGACGCAGCGACGCCGCGUGGGGGAUGACGGCCUUCGGGUUGUAAACCUCUUUUACCACCAACGCAGGCUCCCAGUUCUCUGGGGGUUGACGGUAGGUGGGGAAUAAGGACCGGCUAACUACGUGCCAGCAGCCGCGGUAAUACGUAGGGUCCGAGCGUUGUCCGGAAUUAUUGGGCGUAAAGAGCUCGUAGGCGGCGUGUCGCGUCUGCUGUGAAAGACCGGGGCUUAACUCCGGUUCUGCAGUGGAUACGGGCAUGCUAGAGGUAGGUAGGGGAGACUGGAAUUCCUGGUGUAGCGGUGAAAUGCGCAGAUAUCAGGAGGAACACCGGUGGCGAAGGCGGGUCUCUGGGCCUUACCUGACGCUGAGGAGCGAAAGCAUGGGGAGCGAACAGGAUUAGAUACCCUGGUAGUCCAUGCCGUAAACGUUGGGCGCUAGGUGUGGGGACUUUCCACGGUUUCCGCGCCGUAGCUAACGCAUUAAGCGCCCCGCCUGGGGAGU